rnacentral:rRNA from 1 species
UUCACAAUGGGCGAAAGCCUGAUGGUGCGACGCCGCGUGAGGGAUGAAGGUCUUCGGAUUGUAACCUCUAUCACUGGGGAGAAAACGCUUCAGGUUAAUAGUCUGAAGCCUGAUUUAACCCGGAGAGGAAGCAGUGGCUAACUCUGUGCCAGCAGCCGCGGUAAUACAGAGACUGCAAGCGUUAUUCGGAUUCACUGGGCGUAAAGGGUGCGCAGGCGGCUGGGUGUGUCAGAUGUGAAAUCCCGAGGCUCAACCUCGGAACUGCGUCUGAAACUACUCGGCUAGAGUACUGGAGAGGGUAACGGAAUUCACGGUGUAGCAGUGAAAUGCGUAGAUAUCGUGAGGAACACCAGAGGCGAAGGCGGUUACCUGGACAGUUACUGACGCUCAGGCACGAAAGCAUGGGGAGCAAAAGGGAUUAGAUACCCCUGUAGUCCAUGCCCUAAACGGUGCACACUAGGUCUUGGCGGAUUCGACCCCACCAGGGCCCAAGCUAACGCGUUAAGUGUGCCGCCUGAGGACUACGGUCGCAAGACUAAAACUCAAAGGAAUUGACGGGGGCCCGCACAAGCGGUGGAGCAUGUGGCUCAAUUCGAUGCAACGCGAAGAACCUUACCAGGCCUUGACAUGCACUAGACCGACUCUGAAAGGAGUCUUCCCUUCGGGGCUGGUGCACAGGUGCUGCAUGGCUG